rnacentral:misc_RNA from 1 species
CCAAACUUGGUCAUUUAGAGGAAGUAAAAGUCGUAACAAGGUUUCCGUAGGUGAACCUGCGGAAGGAUCAUUACCGAGAGAUGCGUCGUCGUGGCGCUCCCUCCCACCCGUGUCAACCAUAUCUUUGUUGCUUUGGCGGGUCGUGCCUCCGCACCGUCGGUCCCCCGGGAUGGGCGUGCGCCUGCCAGAGGCCCCUUUCCAACUCGUUGAAUCAUUGCCAUCUGAUCAAGCAAGAUAAUCGCGAAAAACUUUCCACAAUGGAUCUCUUGGUUCUGGCAUCGAUGAAGAACGCAGC